UAGGGAAUCUUCCACAAUGGGCGAAAGCCUGAUGGAGCAACGCCGCGUGAGUGAUGAAGGCCUUCGGGUUGUAAAACUCUGUCAUUCGGGACGAACUGGAGUCUGAGGAAAUGCAGACUCUCUGACGGUACCGGAGGAGGAAGCCCCGGCUAACUACGUGCCAGCAGCCGCGGUAAUACGUAGGGGGCAAGCGUUGUCCGGAUUCACUGGGCGUAAAGCGCGCGCAGGCGGUGAUGUAAGGCUGGGGUGAAAACCCGAAGCUCAACUUCGGGACUGCCUUGGAUACUGCGUCACUUGAGGAUAGGAGAGGCAAGGGGAAUUCCACGUGUAGCGGUGAAAUGCGUAGAGAUGUGGAGGAACACCUGUGGCGAAGGCGCCUUGCUGGCCUAUUUCUGACGCUGAGGCGCGAAAGCGUGGGGAGCAAACAGG
rnacentral:rRNA from 1 species